rnacentral:rRNA from 1 species
ACUCAAAUGAAUUGACGGGGACCCGCACAAGCGGUGGAUCGUGUUCUUUAAUUCGAUGCUAAACGAAGAACCUUACCAGGGCUUGACAUCCCGAGAAUUUUGUCGAAAGACGAGAGUGCUUUAUUGAACUCGGUGACAGAUGAUGCAUGGCCGUCGUCAGCUCGUGUCGUGAGAUGUUUGGUUAAGUCCAUUAACGAGCGCAACCCUUGUGAAUAGUUGUAUUUUUCUAUUCAGACUGCCCCGGUAACGGGGAGGAAGGAGGGGAUGAGGUCAGGUCUGUAUUUCUCUUACGUCCUGGGCUAGAAACACGAUACAAUGGCCAGUACAAUGCGCAGCGAAGCCGCGAGGUGGAGCAAAUCGCAUCAAAGCUGGUCUCAGUUCGGAUUGCAGGCUGAAACUCGCCUGCAUGAAGUCGGAAUCGCUAGUAAUCGCAAGUCAGCAAAUUGCGGUGAAUACGUUCCCGGGUCUUGUACACACCGCCCGU